GCCUUCUUGAUGUAGUGGUCAGCACGCUCGACGCGUAAUCGAGAGGUCCGUGGUUCGAUUCCCGGCGAAGACG
rfam:Stegodyphus mimosarum contig127814, whole genome shotgun sequence.